rnacentral:lncRNA from 1 species
AUAGUCUCCAGACAGUGAUGGUUUGUGUAUAAAGGGGACUGGNGGAAGAGAUCCUGAGAGAGCCUAGAGCACUUGCCUCUUAUCAAGGCACUAGGCUCUACCCACUACCCCAACCGACCACAAGUAGUACAACAGAAGGAAAAAAAAAAACAGGAUCUUUCAUUUCUGCACCUUGUCUGCGUUUCUGUGUAUGUUUCCUGAAACCAUCCAUAUACACAGGAAACUGAGAGCAGUGUUUGGGACAGAGAACCAGGAGACCAAAGGACAGGAAAGCAUCUCGGUGCACGGCAGUGAAGGUGGGAACUGUGUCCGCGUUUGCGGGCUGUGAGUUCGAGACCACAAGCCUUCCGGGCUGGUGGCCAGGCCUAGGCUGUCAGGCCGCCAUCCAUCCCGCGAGCUCGGACCCGGAGCCCGGCUCCCGCCCCGGCCCGCGCUCACCGCCAAUGAUGGUCCGGAUGAGGGAGGCGUGCCCGGGGCAGUCGACCAGUGUGACCUGCAGCAGCGUGUCGCUAGUCCCGGGUUCUGCCCCCGGCAGCGGCACGACAAAACAGGAGAAGCCCAGGUCGAGCGUUAUGCCGCGCUCGCGGCUCUGCGGCUGCUUGUCGAAGGCAGCAGUGGAGGCCGUGGUGCUCAGCGCGCGCGCUAGCGCUGUUUUGCCGCUGUCGAUGUGACCCAGCACGCCCACAUUCACAUUUACCCGCCGGCCGGCCAUCCCGCCGCUGCCUCUCACGCCGUCGCCUGAGCGC